rnacentral:lncRNA from 1 species
UCCUGUUGCUAAGCGAUAGCACAGCUCUCUCGUAUAGCCUCUCAUCUACUAGACACAGCAGACAACACACAGCCACACACACUCAGUCAUACAGUCUCACCAAAGACGGGCAUUUGGCUGUCCGUCCACCCCAACCAUGAUGACAAGCCAGGAUGGAUUCUCCAGAACGGAAGACGACCUACUACAACCUCCCGAUCAAACUCGUGGGUCAACUUGGAACAGACAGAGACAGGUAGAGUGAGAAGAGACUCUAUUUUAAAUAUGCACAAAAUAUGAAUGCUAUUUUGCGAUACAUGCUUCCCACAACCAAGGUUUCCUGUAUUACGGUAUUGUGUGUAACCCCUCUGUCUCUCAGAGCUCCCCUGCCUGUAAACUGGGGAUGACCAGGAAAGAGAAGGACACGAGGGUAGGUCCAGCUCCUUUUUUCUCCACAUAGGGACACGGGUGGUUAAACGAGCUAAAGCCUUGUGCUGCAAUGAAUAUCAUACUCAAUGAUGUUGUGUCUUGAUUGUAUUUGCCAUUAUCAAAUAAACUAUUAAGUAAGUUUGUACACCAUCACUUUAUGAACUCUGACUUCAGCAUUUCCUGAAUACAGCGCA